rnacentral:rRNA from 1 species
UGAGGAAUAUUGGUCAAUGGGCGAGAGCCUGAACCAGCCAAGUCGCGUGAAGGAAGACAGUCCUAAGGAUUGUAAACUUCUUUUAUACGGGAAUAACGGGCGAUACGAGUAUUGCAUUGAAUGUACCGUAAGAAUAAGCAUCGGCUAACUCCGUGCCAGCAGCCGCGGUAAUACGGAGGAUGCGAGCGUUAUCCGGAUUUAUUGGGUUUAAAGGGUGCGUAGGUUGUUCGGUAAGUCAGCGGUGAAACCUGAGCGCUCAACGUUCAGCCUGCCGUUGAAACUGCGGGGCUUGAGUUCAGUGGCGGCAGGCGGAAUUCGUGGUGUAGCGGUGAAAUGCAUAGAUAUCACGAGGAACACCGAUUGCGAAGGCAGCUUGCCAUGCUGCGACUGACACUGAAGCACGAAGGCGUGGGUAUCAAACAGG